ensembl:lncRNA
CCAUCUGGCGUACCGGGCGAUGCCCGGUGGGCCGAAGCACAUUUUUGGGCCGGCACAGGGGGUGUCAUAAUUUCACCGUCAUAUAUACAUAUACAUCCUUUUUGUCGAUCGCGACGGCCCAUUGGUUGAUUUUCUUGAAGGACAUUGGACUAAUCCAAUGAAAUCUCUCAGCCCUCCUCGGCCUCUUGACCAAAGUUAUCACAUUUUGCCGUUUGAGUUGGCCGGAAGUGGAGAGGAGCAAAGAUGGAGAAACGGCCCAAACGAAAGUAGGGCGCUGAAAAAUUGCGCGAAUAAACGCUUAAAAGCCUGCAAGUCGAUGCAGCAAAAUGCUGCUAAAUAAGUGACAUGUUUGCCGUUGCUUCCACUACUUCACCUGCGGCAGCGACUGCUGCUGCCAUGAUAGAAAAAGAAGCCGAAGUUCAGAGGGAGUCGGAGGAAAAGGAGUAGGAGGAGAAGGAGGAGGAGGAUGGAGGGAGAGACGUGACACAGCAGGGACAGAUCGACGAGACUCUAACACCAUCAUCAGGUUUGCUGAUGACAGCAGUGGUGGGUCUGACCUCCAACAGCAACGAGGAGAACUAUUGGAUGGAGAUGACCCACCUGGAGGAGUGGUGCAGAGACAACAGCCUCCUCCUGAACAUCAGCAAGACCAAGGAGCUGAUUGUGGAUUACAGCUAGAAGCAGCAGAGGGAAUAACAUCCACUCAGGAUCAGCGGAACAGAGGUGGAGAGAGUGGAGAGCUUCAAGUACCUGGGUGUUAACAUCGUCAUGUGAUGACCUGACGUGGUCCUGUCACAUCAACACCCUGGUGAAGAAAGCUCGACAGUGUCUCUACCACCUCAGAUGUCUGAGGGACUUCAAGCUCCCUCUCAAGGUGCUCAGGAACUUUUACACCUGCACCACUGAGAGUGUUUUGGCUGAGAGUAUCAUCACCUGGAUGGGCAGCAGCACCCAGCAGGACUUCUUGGCCCUGAGGAGGGUGAUCCGCUCGGCUGAGCAUCAGAACCACCCUCCCCAACCUGCAGGACAUUUACAACAAACGCUGCAGGUUAAAGGCCAGGAAGAUUGCUAGUGAGCCCAUCCACCCCAGCCACAGACUGUCCUCUCUGCUACCAUCAGGACAGCGUUACUGCUGCCUGAAGAAAAACACAGAGAGGAUGAGGAGGAGUUUCUUCCUACAGGCUGUCCACCUGCUGAACCUGAAACAAUAGACUCAAUAGACAAUCAACCUGCAUAUCAACCAUACUGUUAACACUUCACCUUGUAUGUUAUUUUGCACUAUUUGACACUUUUAUAUUUAUUUUGCUUAUUUCUAUGUAUGUAUGUAUGUAUGUAUGUAUGUAUGUAUGUAUAGAUAGAUAGAUAGAUAGAUAGAUAGAUAGAUAGAUAGAUAGACAGACAGACAGACAGACAGACAGACAGACAGACAGACAGACAGACAGACAGACAGACAGACAGACAGACAGACAGAUAGAUAGAUAGAUAGAUGCAUAUUUAUUUCUUGUAUAUCUUUAUUCUUAUUAUUCUUAUUGUUUUGGUCUGGAACAGGUGC